AAUGGCAAUGAAUGGCUGAAUAGUUGUGCCUUUAACUUUAAAAAAAUAAAUCAACAGGGAAAUUGUUUUUGACGUUUUCGAUGUGAAGGUUCGAUUUGAGUGCUGAUUGAUGCUUAAAUUAUGAUUAUUUUACCUGAUUUCCUGGCAUGUUUGGAGAAAAACACUAUAUAUGCCUCGGCAGGAACAGCAAUUCGUGGAUUCGUCUUCUUUGUCGAAGCUUAUCCGCGAAUUGAAUUGCCCUUUCCCGGCCUCUGCAUUAAUGUACUAUUAAACUCCCUUAUUAUGCAACGUUAGACACAAAACUGUAACCAAUAGUGAAUAAUGAUGUACAAUUUAAUUACGUCUGCUGAUUUUUCAAUUAUAUAAAUAUUUUUAGAGAAAUCGAUACUGUUCAACUUCGUCCGUAGGCCCGGCGCGCGGUUGACUGCGCGGGCGAUGAGGGGCAGUCGCAGCUUGACCGUCGGACGGGAAACCCGUGUCACUCGACGCGACGCGUGCGCAGUUAUUCUCUGUGAAUUGAUCAUCUGAUUUUAACUUUUGAGUGAUAGGGCACUGUUCAUUUAAGCUUAAAAAUAAUGCCUCGAUCAUUCAAAAAAACGAUUAGUGUCCGGAGCAUAUCGGAACUACUAUGAAAAAGUUUUAAACCUGUGACAGAAGAGGUUGAAGCCAGGCUGUCGAUACGCCAAGCAUCCGAACAUCAUGGUGUUGUCGAUUACAUAUUGUUGGUAAAGUUGGACAGCCUUUCAAAAGGGUACCGCCAAGUCCGCCAACGCCAUGGCCGGGGGGCCUAGUGGUCAGCGUAAACUCGAGACGUCGAUUCUGACUCCGGCUGCGGGAGGGCUUGGUAUCUUAAGUCAUUUUUUAAUUCUAUCACUUCAUCUUUCUCACUCUUUCUUACUUAGCAGUGCCGCGGCCAGAAGGGCCGGUGGGGCCAAACAGUAAAGACAUGAUAAAAAAAAGGAGGGAUUGGUCACGUUUUCAAAAAAUCUUUUUAGUUUAAGAUUAGAGUUAUGUAGUUAAGUUUGUAAAAGUGCAUGUUUUUUAAUGAAAUAAACAGAUUAAAAUACAAAAUUUUAAUUUUUUUUUAGUAGGGAAGGUGAAUUAAUAUAUUUCGUUUAUUUAUUUGUUGGGAUCAUAAAUAUACAUGGAUCUAUUUGUCAAUAGAAUUAAAUAUAGGUAUAUUUUAGUGAUAUUGCCAAUUUACUAAAAAUUUUUUCUAGUAUAGGUACGUAUUGAAUUUAGUCGUAUCAAUACUUUAAUUAAAAGUAUAGGUACUGUAGGUAGAGGUACAUUAAUGUUGUGAUACGUCACUUUAACCCAAGUUAAUAAUUGACGCCAUUUUGUGCCGAGCCGAACUGAGCUAUCAUUGUUUGCACAGAAAUAUUGACUUAUUUUAAUUGGUUCUGGCCAUGAAUAAUAAUUACGUGCCGAACAAUGUUACCCUCGCCAACUAUUCAGAAAAAUCAAUUCAAUUAACAAUGUCGUAGCUGGCAAAUGUUUACUGAAGAUUUGUGUAUGUUACAGUAAAAUCCGUUUUUAAUGAAAACGCGUUUUUUCUACUUAAAAAGAAAACGCGUAUUCACUAGUUAGAACUAAUUUUCCCGUCAGGCCUCGGUGAAAACCAGUUUUUAGAGGAAACAUUUUUGGUAUUUUUCCAUAAAAACGUUCUCAACAUUUUCCACUCUGGAUUUUGGCCCUAGAUGAAUAAGCAUUUUAUAUAGGCUCAAUAUUGCCAGUACCUGUGACUGUACGUUUUGCUUUUUAUGAUAUUGUUAUUUUUAUAAGAACUACUUCAAACAGCGCUAAAAACGGCUAAAUAAAAUGCGCCGUAAACAGAUGUAUACAAAAAUAGGCAUAGGCAACAUCAAAAAUAGGCAUAAAAGCAAAGAUCAAAAUGGUCAGACACAGAUCAUUUCUUUCUCAUUCUGUUCCUUUAUAACUUCGUUACAAUUGGUUUAAUUUUGGAGGAUAAAGUCGAAAACUAAAUCUCGAUUUCUGAGAUUUUUACGUAGGAUUUUUGGAUGGAGCUGCAGUUGCCCUUAUCGCACAUUUUGAGGCUCCGUCUGCAUUUAUAAACUAAAAAUUAAUAUGAAAAGGGGCUUAACUAAUAAUUUAAAACUAGUUUCCGGAAAGUGGCUUGGUGAAAAGUAGUUUUCAUAUUAAUUUCAGUUAAAACUAGUUAAGACGACAAAGUGGAGGACCCGCGCAAAAUCGCCUAUUCAUACAAACGUAGUCCCCGUUUUCCUCUCUGGAUAUUAACAUUUUUGAAAUUAUUUUGACACAAUUAGUUGUAUAACCACCACAGCUAUGCCCCUACGUUGGAUUUUUUUUAUUAAAAGAGUUAGGAGCAUUUAAAAAAUGGUAUGAAAUCUGUUUUACGCCCCUAAUUUUUAAAAUAAUUGAAAAAGUCAAACGAAGGGGCAUAGCUAUGGUUAAUAUACAUCAAAUUAUGUAAAAAUAUUUUCCAUAAUAUCAAUAUCCAGACAGGAAAAUGAGGACGAAGUACGUUUGUAUCUGAAGCGGCCGUCUCCUUUCCUUUUAACCUAAAUCAUAAUGCCUUUAUUUGUAUUAAAUAUAAAAACAAUUUUAACUCAAAAUGUCUAAAUAUCAAACUGAUACCUUUGUAUAAAAUGGCCUAAAGUCAUAAUUACUUUUAAAAUAUCAUAAAAUUGUCAUAAAAUUGACCCUGCUAGUAAUACUAAUAAAGGCAAGAGGCGAGAACUUUUACCAUCAAAAUCGGGUGAAAAAUAAUUAGCGGCAUAUGAAACUUUUAUUCAAUUGAAAAUCAGAAAAAACGCCCACGACGCAAAUGUCUUUCUUGGAAAACGUGUUGGUAGCUUACUUCAAUGAACUGGCGAAUAAGUGCCUACAAGGCCAGCACGCCUUGGUGCAAUUAUUCGAGGUUAAAACUGUAAGCCACCAUUUUGAAAAUUGUACUUUUACUGUUUUGAAAAAAAAAAACGUAUUUAUAAGUUUUGUUUUUUCCUCGCAAGUGUGUUGAAAAACGUCGUAUGAUACGCGUGUGCAUUGGUCAUUACCCACAUCGGCUUUCUUAUUGCGCGCUCGCUUACAGCUCGCGCGCACAAUAUCGCCUCGUGUGUAAAGACCAACUUAGCGCACUUGUACCAUAAUGUAAUAUUAAACGGCUGUUAAAUUAAUCAAAUUAAAUAAUAUUAAACAUAAAAAAAAUCAAUUAUAAACGUCAACAACGUAUUUUAAAAGUAAAACUCAUUUAUGCUACUUGGUUUGAACUGCAAUGAUAAAAAAAGGCUAUAACACCCUUGGGAGUUAUAACUUUUCUUUCACAAUCCAUAACUCACGCGGGAACAAUAUAGGCCUUUGUCCUUCAGUACACCUGCAUGAAAUAAGAUCUUUUUCGAGCAAGUGUGAUGAAAGUGUUAAAAAGUAUGUUUCAUCAAAUGGAUUACCCAUGGGACUUCUAUAUUAUAGAGCGUAUUAUUUUUUUAAAUUUCAAGGGAGUGUUUUAAAUGGACACGAGUUGCGAAUUACCUAUUCGCACAUGUAUCGUACAACGUUUUACAGUACAUAUGACCCUUUAAAUUUUCGACAUAGUUACAUAAUGUGCGGAAAAGUAGCACCAUAUGUACUGUAAACGAUAAUAUAGGAUAAUGUAGCAUUCAUUAAUACAGGUAAUUUUUAGAUUUAGGUAUUGUGAUACCACGUCGUUUUACAGUUUAACAGAUAUGGCUUUGUGGGAAAAAUAGGCAUAGUUAUUGGAAUUCAGGUAUAUUGAUACAAUUCCAUUCUAGAAUCUAGGAAUUUUAGCGACCGAGUAAAACGUUUUGAUAAAUGAAACAAACGCAUGCAAAUUUGUAGGUGUAAACGACCCUAUAAUAUAUCUCAUUAUGGAUUGAUAAAAGAAGUUGAGAUGUGACUCACCGAUUAGAUUUAUUGCGAUUAAUAGCGCUCUUAAUUAAAAAAGGGUUGUUUACAAAAUGAUAGCAUUUUCUUGCAGUAAAUACAUAGGUACACAAUGUUUUUGUUAUGUUAUAUCUGACCCCUAUCUGGCAGGUAAUGUGGUCAUACUGAACAACUUUUACCAUGGAGCUAAUCAAGAAAACACAAACAAAACCUGUAUAUAGGUUUAUAUGCGUUACAACAUCACUUUAUUAUGUUGAUUAGUUAGUAUUUUAAAACUGAGAAACUUAAAAAUAUCAGCAAUGGUCCAAAUCAAACUAACUACCGCUGCUAAAUCGAGUGACAGAGAAAAAGUGCACAGAGUUCGCUGCCGCAUGGUAAUUAAAUUAAAUUUCUGUUAGUUCUAGUCAGAGCUCUGCCAAAGUGAAUUUGGUUUAUUUGCUACUGCUACCAAUGAGUUGGGCGGCUAAAGCAGAUUGAACGUACCUACGUAUAACUUACUAAGGACGUAUAACUAAGGAAAUAAAUAUUUAUCAUUUUUCAUUUUCAUUUUUAAAAGAAUACCUAUUCAUAUAAAAAUAUAACUCAUUUUCGCUGACGUGUAUAAAAUAAUUGAUGCACUUUGUUUUAAAGGUGUGUUAUGAGUGUAAUAUAAAAAUAAGGCGAUCAAAUGGCUACAUCUACAACGUGGCACAUAUAAAAAUGUAGGGAGAUGAAUAGCUGUAUUAACUUUUUUGCAUCAACAAUGCAAUGGUUUCCGCGCAGCCUAAACUCGGCCAGUGAAGCGUCGCGCAAUCAAGGCGCGUAUAACUUCGCAAUCAGAAGCACCCACAUUGUUGCACCUCCAACGCACAUUGUGGCACCUGCGACUGGCUCCCAUUUCUCUUGUUCGCUACAGCGGCUGCACGCUGCCGUGUCUUUUCACUGCAAUUGUAUUGCGCGUCAUUGUCUAGUUUCAUUUAUUCUCCCCUAUACAAGCUCACACGACAGCUUUCUCUUUUCCAACUUUAUUCGUAAACAAGUUUGCUUUCAUUGUGAUGAUUGAAUUAGGUUAUGGUUCUUUGGGUAGGUACUUUCAAAGUGUGGUUUAGCGAAACUAGUCCACGCUGGACGUAACAUAAAUAUCUGGAGGCACACAAACAAAGAAGCGCUACAGCCGUAACCUCUCUCUCUCAAAGCCAUUCAGGGGUAUUUAGACCCCUUCUAACUUCAUUAUGAAUAAAACUAUAAGCCUGAAUUAUCAGUGACUACUGUCUUGUGUACUCGAAGUUAAAAUUUUCGAUCAUAAUAACCGUUUAGCCCAUAAAGCAUUAGAAAAAUCUACCAUACAUAGGUAUGUAUGUUAAUUGAGGUCAAUUUCAGAACCGUUUUCUAUCUUACAAAACGCAUAAGUAAGUUUCUAAUAAUUAGAAACUUACAUAUGCGUUUUGUAAGGUACAAUUAUUGUACCUAUGUAAUUUUGCGAAAUAACAGUUACUAGUGCGAUCGUUACAUUACACUCAUUACCUUCUUACUUACCUAUAUAAGUAACGUACCUAAUUGGCUGCUGCGACGACCCAAAAUCAGUCGUGGCCUCCAAUACAAGAGCACGUCCGUCACACUAAUUUUAUUAUUACAUAUAUUGCCAAUAUUGUAGGUAGUAAGUCACAGACAAACUGAAUGGGGGGGGGGGGGGGGGGCUCACCAUGGUCUAACUGGCGUGUGAAGGCUUCGCGUCAGCUCCCCACCAACACGCCGCCGUUUCCAUUGCAAAAGAAGCAAAUAUGUAGCCAGGGCAAAGAGGAGUAUAUUUUUACCGCUUUAAAGCUGCUUGUGUUUCGGUUGCCUUUCCGGCCACGCGCAAGGUACGGCUGAUAUGAGAGGCGAAGGUGUUGACGCAUGAAGCUUCAAUUUCAUUGAUCAAUAUUAGGUAACAACUUAUAAUAUGAUAGGAUGUGGUACCUACUGACUUAAUAAAGAGACUUUGUUUUACAUUACAUCUCGCAUUUUUUGCAUAACAUACAGUUGCAUACAAUAAAUAUAAUUAAUACUGCUUUAUAUAAAAUCCAUAUGACAUUUUAUGACUUGUAUUUUGCACAGAUCGAUGUGAUUUUAUGUUAAUUAUGAUUUUUGGUAACAAAAUACUACCAGUUGUCAUAUUGUCAAUGAUACGACACCGCCAUAAGGAUUUUAAAAUCCUCAAAACAAGAUGUAAUUUGAAAAUUCGGAGUUAUGGUAGGUAAGUAAAUUCAAAAAUAUGCUUGUGUGUGUGUUAUUUUUACAGUAUCUUAUAGUUAUGGUAAAACUGGUAGGUAUUGAAGAUUAGCCGAUCUAAGACCAAGAUUAUGAUGCGUUAAUGACAACUCGCCGGAGGUUACACAGAUUGCGUACUGCGGCAUGGUACAAGCCUACGUAUAUCUUGGGGCCUUAAUCUCGAGCUAUGGUAGUUGCGUAGAUGAAGUAAAGCGUCGUAUGGUCGUAACCAAAACGGCGGUAGAGAAAUUAAAGAAAUUGUGGAGAAAUCGCAACACCACCAAAGUCAAGCUCAUGCGAACACUGAUAUUCCCAAUCUUCCUUUAUGCGGCAGAGACGUGGACAGUGCGUGAGUUGGAAAAGAGGAAGAUAGAUGCUCUAGAGAUGUAGUGAUGGAGAAAGAUGCUCGGCAUAUCCUGGACAGAGUUCUGCACCAACAUGUUCAUACUCCAGGAACUCGGCAUCACAAAACGUCUAUCGAUCAUAGUACAGAUGCCCAUACUGCAGUACUUUGGUCAUGUCUCUAGGCGUCAUAAUAACUCCAUAGAACGGCUGGUCGUGCAAGGAAAAGUACAGGGAACCAGAUCACGUGGCAGGCCACAUAUGCGCUGGACUGAUCAGGUGAAAUCCGCAGUGGGAAACCGCAUAUCAGACUGUGCCAGACAGUCUGCAAACAGAGAAAGAUGGCGGGAGAUCGUAACGAAAGCUGAAUCCGCCUCUAACACAAACAUCAACGCCUCAGCGUGACCACGACCGCUCUGUCAAGAGCGAAACGACUGAGAAGAAAGAAGGUAGAUAUUAAUAUAUUUUUCACCACACCAGCUCAUAGGAGCCUCUCUUUAUUCAUCAAUAACUGAUGAGAAUUGUACAUUAUUGCAGAGGCUGGAUGAGUUUCAAUUUUGUCGGAUGACUCAAAGACGAAUCCACAAACUGCUGUUCCUGCCGAGGCAUAUAUAGUACUUAGAAUAGAUUUAAAAGUGGAAAAAUUACUGUCUUGGGCGAGACUUGAACUCGGAAUGCAAUCUCAGAUAGCAGAGCGCUGGAGUAUCGAUCCAGAUACGACUUUGCCACUCUUGUGGAUAGAAUGCAACUUACUCCAAUAUGCUCGGACAUGUUCACCUUAUUGUAGCAAAAAUAGUAUGGGCAGUUCUUCUUUAUGGUAAAACUCCAAUAAAAAAAAAAACAACUGCAUGAUUGUCAAGCCGUUAGGUUUCAAGGCACAUUUCUAUAUUUCUAUCCUAUUUAGUUUUUUUUAAUAAUUAUCUGGUGCUUUAUUUCAUGCAUGGUGUGAAAUAAUUUAUCUUAAAUACAGUCGAAUACCCUUACUAGUCAAUUAUAGGGCAAAUCUGAAAUGUGUCAAGGUGGGUGCAGUGGCAAAAAAAAUGUUACCUCCUUUUCUACAUAAUUAGGCGUAGGACGCUGUCUUUUUAAUUACAUUUUAUGAAAUCUAAAAUUAACAAUAAUCGUUCUUUCACCGGUCUCCCUCAUUGAAGUCGGUUUUUUUUUUCUUAAAAAUUAUUGUCGAUGCGUUGGUAGUUUCUUGCAAGUUUGACCCGAACAUAUAUACAUAGGUAUAUACAUAUACAUACAUUGCAAGUUAAAUAAAGGCUUGUGAAAACAAUUCGCUUUUAUGUACAUAGAAUUUCGAGAGCAAACAAUGCCAACAAUAAAACAUGCAUCGCUCAAAUAUGACACACUGAGUUUUAGCGACUACCUAUAAUACAAUUAUACGAGUAUUUAUUAUGUAGAUAGUAACUUAAAAAGUAUUAUAACAUUAUGCCACAUUAGGGAUAAUUUGUUUGAAAUAUUGGUGUCAUUUUACCGUCGUAGGUACCUAAUAUGAAAGUGCCAACGGUCAUCUAUCAUUCGAUAUAAUGUGACAUAUCUGGAUCCACAAUUUGAUUUUUAACGGUCACAUUGGUACAGGAUUGAGAGAAUUAUUCUGAAAUGAAAAAUAAUGUUACGUAAAAAAGUACUCAAUCUAAAAACCAGCAAUAUUUUUUAUAUCGAUAAUUUGUACUACCCGUAAAAAAACAAAAACCUUUGGUCAGUUCGUCGAAAACACAAAAUACUCUCAUAAAUUGUUUUUCUAGCAGUAUUUCUUCUAAUAAUAAUAAAAAAAUAUCUUCAUUAUCUAGUAGCUUAUGCCCGCGACUGCGUCCGCGUGAAAUGAUAAUGGUGAUUGAUAAAAACUACCUUAUGUUCUUCCCCGGGCCUCAAACUAUCUCCAUACCACAUUUCAUCUAAAUCGAUUCAGCGGUUUCAGUGAGAUGUGACUGAUUGAGAAAAAUACAGACUUUUCUUUCACAUUUAUAAUAUUAUAAAGUAGGAAUAGGAAUAGCAGGUACGGUAUUCCCUUAUUUUGCCGACAAACUUUUCAUCGACAACGAUUUAUUGAAAUUUUAGUUCUAGUAAUAAUAUAGUCUAGCAUUAUUUUGUUUCAACAACUAUUUAUAUAAAUUUUUCUUACUUCUUUGUAUUCAACGAAUAUUACUUGAUCGCUGAUUCGUUUCAGAGUACCUAUUUUUAUUGGCAGAACUAAUAAACAUUGUAAUACAUUUGUUCGACGUAUAAAUAUAAAACUUUUUUACAUGUGGUACUACACAUUUUUAUUCUGUUCUAAUUAUUUUCAAAUGAUCUAUUUUAUCAUGUCAUACAAAUAUAAUAAAACUAAGAAUCAUCUGUGUAAAUCGUUUUUUAGAAACAAAAGGCGAUUCUUUCCAAACUUCCCUCGUACGGGCUCCCUGAAGGACUAUGCACAUGGGUCGCCAAUUUUCUAUCUGGGCGUAGCAUUGCAGUUAUCAUCGACGGACAAUGCUCAGAUCUCCGGCCCAUUAACGCCGGCGUACCCCAAGGAUCUGCACUGUCACCUACUCUGUUCAUCCUUCAUGUCAAUGAUAUGCUGUCGACUAGCAAUAUCUAUUGCUAUGCAGAUGACAGCACGCGGGUGGUAGCUUCUACACAGGUCGUGCAAAUGCCCCUCGUGAGCAGGUAUUGGAAUGCAGAAUGCAACUUGUGUCCGAAAUCGAGGCCUCUCUUGAGCAGGUAUCCGAGUGGGGUAAAAGUUUGCGCGUUUUCCGCUAAGAAAACCUCAUUUGUUUUAGCGCUAAUAUUUCAGAACAUGCCACUUACCAUCUCCAUGAGUAUCGGGAUACUCGGUGUCGACAUUACGAACGAAGUUCAGUUUCGGGGUCAUUUGGAACUCAAAGCCAAACUGGCCUCCAAGAAGCUCGGGGUGCUCAAUAGAGCGAAACAGUGCUUCACACCAGGUUUUCGUUAUACAAAGCGCAGGCUCGACCUAUUAUAGAGAACUGUUCUUAUCUCGGGUCUGGAGCACCGAAAUACCAACUUCUUCCACUUAACUCCAUCCAACGUCGGGCAGUUCGUUUAAUAAAAUAGGUAGGAAUAAUACAAACGUAUGUGUGAUAUUGUGUUCUUAUUUAAUUUUGCUUAGAAAUAUUAUUUUGUACUUUAAUCGGAAUCGACGGGGCACAGAAUUUCGUCAUGUAUUUAUCAUUUUAGGUAUUUGCUGUUAACUUAGAACUUGACUACGUCUCGUUUUGUUAUUUCGGGCUUUCAGUUUUAAAAACACUUAUUGUGUAGGUAAAAACAAGCGAGGGUUUUCAGAACAUGUUGGUAAAAACACGAAACCUUAGGGGAUUUCCGUCUUGUAUGAAUGUCCCGUUAAUACAAAGUUGUGGUCAUCUAUGUGCGCAAGCUCAUCAAUCACGCUGAUAUUGCGUGACACGUCAACUCGUGAUGACGGGAACCGUCACUUCUGUUUAUAUGCUUAUCGGGAUUACAUGCAUUUUGAUGGGUAAAAUGUGAAAAAGAUUGUAAAGACGUGGUUUAAAAUAUGGAAACUGAAUGUAUCGAUGAGAUCUAGUAAGAGGACCGUUCUAUUUAUGGCUACGCCAGCUCUAUCCAUAAACGUAUAUAAUUAUAGAGGAUGUUUAUUUAGUCACCUGCAAUAAUUUACGGGGUGAAUAUAUAGGUCAUACUGAGCAACUUUUCCUAUGGGACCAACCCGGAUAACGCGAAAAAAAAUUUACUCUCCCAUAGAUACUGACAUAAAUGUACUAGACAGGCUAUUGAGAACAAAUUGUGUCCGCCAUUUUCGGUGUUUGACGUUUGUCACUAAGCUAAAGAACAAGCAUGUGUAGCUAGCCAGAGGCGAAACUGUUAUGACAACUGUUAAUUUUCUGCCCACACUGUAAAGAAUCUAGAUAUUCUAGAUAAAAUUAUUUUAUUUCCUUACAAGUGUAUUGAAAUUGUUUUACAUAUAUGACACGGACGACAUGAAAAUUUAUAAAAAUAGUCAUAAAACUCGUUCUAUUUGACUCUGGUACUCGAAGCAAUUAUAAUCUAAUCGCGUUUGUAGCAUAAUAUAUUCUUUAAAUAUGAGAAAAACACUACAAACAAAUACAAGAAAAAGAGUAAUAUAUCAUUAUUUUGUAUAUAUUCUGCAAACAAUAAGGUAGGUAAUCAUUAGUACCUACGUAUUACAUCUGCGAAAUGUAAUCUAUGCGCCAAAGAAAAUGGCGUCCCACCGCAAGUGUAUAAAGUGACGUUUAAAAAUAAUCUAAAUGAGCUUAAAACAAGAGUUUUUUCGUAGUGGAGUGUUAUGUUUCUUGAUAUUAUUAGAAUACAUUUUCAUAACGCACAAAGGCAUUUUUUUUGUCACAUGUGUGGAAUCUCGACAGUAGUCGGAGACGUACUUAAUGGAAUUAAGUGCCGGCACUUCAUUGAGGUGCGGAAACAUUUUCUUAGAUAUGCCGACUCUAGUACUUAUACCUCAAUGCCCAUAGAAAAUGUCAAGGUCAGACAACCAAAAUGUAUGAAAAAGCCAUUUUUUUUUCGUGAUUUCGGGGUUGGUCUUAUAGCAAAAGUUGCUCAGUAUUAUUGCUGGUGACUAAAUAAGCACUCUGUAUAUAUGAAACAUAAUUAUAACUAUAAGUGUAAUGUAAUGUAAGUAAAAUGUAAAUAUAGCAAUCGUUGGUAAUACAAUUUUAUAAUUAGGUAGCUUUGUUUUGAUAUUUUGUAAUUGUUAAUUAUAUCAACUGCGACGUCGUAACGUAACCCGUAUCGUUGUUUUGCAGCUAUUGAAGCGAAAACUCUUCGCACUGGCAGCGGCCUCAUGCACAAAUGAAGUGAAAGAAUAUAUCUUCUUUGUCUAAGUGCCUACUUAUACUGUCAGCGUCAUAGACAAAAAAAUGGCCUUUCAUUAUACCGGGUGUGGCCUGUAACACGAGCAAUAAAUUUAACUGUAGGCUGUACUCCUCAAACUUACCAACAUUUGGUCAGCGAUUUUUGGAAAUUAUGAAUACUUUAGACUUCCUAUUUUUCAUACAAAUUAAAUAUUACCUUCAAUGUACGCUGUCAUCAGUGUAAUUGACGUCUAUUGUCACGCUUUAAACAUUGUACAAACAUUCGCAAUACAUUACGCAAUGUAUCUAUUACGAAUUUUAGAAUAAACUUUAAAGUGUUCAAAAAAUCAAAAUAAAAGUUAUUUUUAAAAGUUGCUGAACAAAUGUUGGUCAGUUUGAGGAGUACAGCCUACAGUUUGAUUUUUUGCUCCUGUUA